CCUACGGGUGGCAACAGUGGGGAAUAUUGCACAAUGGGGGAAACCCUGAUGCAGCGACGCCGCGUGAGUGAAGAAGUAUUUCGGUAUGUAAAGCUCUAUCAGCAGGGAAGAAAAUGACGGUACCUGAUUAAGAAGCCCCGGCUAACUACGUGCCAGCAGCCGCGGUAAUACGUAGGGGGCAAGCGUUAUCCGGAUUUACUGGGUGUAAGGGGAGCGUAGACGGCAGCACAAGUCUGGAGUGAAAUGCCGGGGCUUAACCCCGGAACUGCUUUGGAAACUGUGCAGCUAGAGUGCAGGAGAGGUAAGUGGAAUUCCUAGUGUAGCGGUGAAAUGCGUAGAUAUUAGGAGGAACACCAGUGGCGAAGGCGAGUUGCUAGACUGUAACUGACACUGAGGCACGAAAGCGUGGGGAGCAAACAGGAUUAGAUACCCGUGUAGUC
rnacentral:rRNA from 1 species